CCCUUAGAUGUUCUGGGCUGCACGCGCGCUACACUGAUGCACUCAACGAGUUUACGACCUUGCCCGAUAGGGUUGGGUAAUCUUUUUAAAAUGCAUCGUGAUGGGGAUAGAUUAUUGCAAUUAUUAAUCUUCAACGAGGAAUUCCUAGUGAGCGCGAGUCAUCAGCUCGUGCUGAUUACGUCCCUGCCCUUUGUACACACCGCCCGUCGCUCCUACCGAUUGAGUGCUCAGGUGAAUAAUUCGGACUGCAGCAAUGUUUGGAUCCCGAACGUUGCAGCGGAAAGUUUAGUGAACCUUAUCACUUAGAGGAAGGAGAAGUCGUAACA
rnacentral:rRNA from 1 species